GAUAAAAGCAAUCUGAAUUGUAAAUAGAAAUUGAGUACAAAUGAUAAGUUGGGGUUUCGUAACGAGUAAACCGGCGAUCUAACCGAUCACGGGAUUACACGGCAAGGUAGCAAAGCUAAACUUUAAUCUAAACAAAACCCAAGAAACCCUGAAGGGGUAGCAAGCUAUUUAUGAAGAUGGGAGGACCCUAGGUCGUCCUCCACCUGGUUGGGGCGCACCCCACAUGGGCCCCACUUGGGCUGGGGUCCCAAACGAAGUUACAAGCCCAUAGGCCCAUUACAGGUGACGCAACACUUUGUUUCUUCAAUUGCGGCUCACUGAGAUGGAAUUUUGCAAUGAGGUUAGAUCUAUUGGAAGACGACUCUGAGAGCUUUCCAUCAAGUACUCACGAGCCGAAAAUGGAUGUCAUAUACAGAUUCGGCGGCCGUUUGAAUUCAGCAGUGUAGCAGGUGGCCGAAUCGGAUUCCAGCAGUUGGAGGACUUGAUCUUGAUAUCAUCUUGUUCAUCCAUGAUGUGAGCAACGGUUGUAUCCAUAGUAGCCAUGGUUACAUCAUUAUGUUUGCUGAGGAGCCUCAAUUCUUUAUUUCUGAGGGAACUUUUGGUAGAUUACAGGAGUUUUGGUUGAGGAAAGAGUUGCUUGAGCAACUGGCUGAAAAGUGUAAUAAUGUCAGCAUUCCACAGCCUUUAACUUCUUUGGCCCCUUUUACUCAGCUUGUUUUAUCCAAAAGAAAAGCUUCUGCUGAUCAGCUGCCACCUUUUAAACGUCUGCAUGUGGGCCGGUGAGGCCUCUGAAUGGGCUGUGGUUCAAUUUAAAGGCCCUGAUGAUUUACCUAUGCCUGUGCCGUUGUCUGUUAUGCCUCCCUCUAAUGUAGAAGUUGCUGAUAUCUUUGAAUCCCUCCCUGAUGUUGCUGGAUAGAAAAGCCUGGACUUGGUACGUUUUGUUGAUUCCCAGAAAGCUUGCACCUUUUCUCAGCUGGAGGAACAUGUGGAGCCAUCAACUCCUUUGCAGUUGCUGCUCUACCCCCUAAAGCUCCCAUUAAGAAAAGAGAUGGUAAAACAAUUUUGUGUGACCCUGAAAGAAGGCAAAGUUCUAGGCUAAGGGCUUAUGCACAAGGUUGUCUCCAACUUGACCCAAGAAUGGGGUUUGGGAAACCUAGGGGGAAAUCUGCAAGGAAGUUAAAGGAAUUAGCAGAUGGGAGUGGAGAUGUGUGGCCUUCAUCUUGAGGAUGUGGCUGAAUCAAAGCUUCAGGGGGAGAAGCUGAAAGAACUUCCAAGUCCUACAGAAGAUGCUGAAUGAUCCUAUGCACAUGUGGGGGCAGUUCUUUUUGGUUGUGCUUUUGGUGGCUGUCUUUUAUGUCUGUGUCGGCUAUGAUGCAAUCUGGUCCUGUUUCCAGACUCUUUGUAAUGCAAACUUAUGGUUGCAAUUGUGCCAAACUUGUCAGAUUAGCUUUGCUUGUUCUGAGACCCCCUAUGCUAUUUUUAUCUGUUUAAAUGACUA